GGAAGUAAAAGUCGUAACAAGGUUUCCGUAGGUGAACCUGCGGAAGGAUCAUUACUGAUUUAGCGAACCGAGCGUUAGCGAGGUUUUGCGAUCACUUAUAUUUAAAACCCCACUCUUUAAUGUAAUAAAAUUUGUAUUAAUGAUAAAUUAAAAGAUCACUUUCAACAACGGAUCUCUUGGCUCUCGCGUCGAUGAAGAACGUAGCGAAGUGCGAUAAGUAAUGUGAAUUGCAGUAUUCCGUGAAUCAUCGAAUCUUUGAACGCAUAUUGCACUUUCUGGUAUUCCGGAAAGUAUGCCUGUUUGAGGGUCAGUUAAAUAAAAAUCGGUGUUGUUGCCGCCUUUCGUGGUGACGCGUCGGAAUUGAGUUGUCUUACCUUCGGUUAAGUGACUUAAAAUUUUGUAUGAUUUUCGAACGUAUUUAAAUUUAUUUGAACGUUUGAUAUCGAAUGCUUAUUAGGUUCGGUCAUCCUCAUGACUCGCGCCUAUAAUUUUUCAUUAAAUGACCUCAAAUCAGGUAAGAAUACCCGCUGAACUUAAGCAUAUCAAUAAGCGGAGGA
rnacentral:rRNA from 1 species